GAUUCUGGCUCAGGAUGAACGCUAGCUACAGGCUUAACACAUGCAAGUCGAGGGGCAGCAGGGAAGUAGCUGCUAUUCCGCUGGCGACCGGCGCACGGGUGAGUAACGCGUAUCCAACCUGCCCCGUACUCGGGGACAGCCCUCUGAAAGGAGGAUUAAUACCCGAUAUUGUCGCUGUGGGACAUCCCAUGGUGAUGAAAGAUUCAUCGGUACGGCGAUGGGGAUGCGUAUGAUUAGGACGUAGGCGGGGUAACGGCCCACCUAUCCGACGAUCAUUAGGGGUUCUGAGAGGAAGGUCCCCCACAUAGGAACUGAGACACGGUCCUAACUCCUACGGGAGGCAGCAGUGAGGAAUAUUGGUCAAUGGGCGAGAGCCUGAACCAGCCAAGUAGCGUGAAAGGAUGACUGCCCUAUGGGUUGUAAACUUCUUUUAUAGGGGAAUAAAGUGCUCCACGUGUGGAGUUUUGUAUGUACCCUAUGAAUAAGCAUCGGCUAAUUCCGUGCCAGCCGCCGC
rnacentral:rRNA from 1 species